rnacentral:rRNA from 1 species
UACAGAGGGUGCAAGCGUUAAUCGGAAUUACUGGGCGUAAAGGGCGCGUAGGCGGAUAUUUAAGUCAAAUGUGAAAGCCCUGGGCUUAACCUAGGAAUUGCAUUCGAUACUGGGUAUCUGGAGUAUGGUAGAGGAAAGUGGAAUUCCCGGUGUAGCGGUGAAAUGCGUAGAUAUCGGGAAGAACAUCAAGGCGAAGGCAGCUUUCUGGACCAAUACUGACGCUGAGGCGCGAAAGCGUGGGGAGCAAACAGG